GUGUUGUAUGAAAGGAGAGGUUAAUACUCCCCUUGAUAGGGAUGGAAGAGGUUCUAGUGGCCUGCACAACACUCAUAUGGUUAAGGCAUUGUCACUUACUUUGUGGCAUCUAACCAAGUUUUUAG
rnacentral:ncRNA from 1 species